rnacentral:rRNA from 1 species
GGGAAUCUUGCACAAUGGGGGAAACCCUGAUGCAGCGACGCCGCGUGAACGAUGAAGCCCUUCGGGGUGUAAAGUUCUUUCGACAGGAAUGAUAAUGACGGUACCUGGAGAAGAAGCUGCGGCUAACUACGUGCCAGCAGCCGCGGUAAUACGUAGGCAGCGAGCGUUGUUCGGAGUUACUGGGCGUAAAGAGUGCGUAGGCGGCGAGCCAAGUUUGGUGUGAAAUCUCCCGGCUUAACUGGGAGGGUGCGCCGAAGACUGGGAAGCUGGAGUGUGGGAAAGGCAGGCGGAAUUCCUGGUGUAGCGGUGAAAUGCGUAGAUAUCAGGAGGAACACCGGCGGUGUAGACGGCUUGCUAGACCAUAACUGACGCUGAGGCACGAAAGCGUGGGUAGCAAACA